GACGAACGCUGGCGGCGUGCUUAACACAUGCAAGUCGAACGGAAAGGCCCUGCUUUUGUGGGGUGCUCGAGUGGCGAACGGGUGAGUAACACGUGAGUAACCUGCCCUUGACUUUGGGAUAACUUCAGGAAACUGGGGCUAAUACCGGAUAGGAGCUCCUGCUGCAUGGUGGGGGUUGGAAAGUUUCGGCGGUUGGGGAUGGACUCGCGGCUUAUCAGCUUGUUGGUGGGGUAGUGGCUUACCAAGGCUUUGACGGGUAGCCGGCCUGAGAGGGUGAACGGCGACAUUGGGACUGAGAGAGGGCCCAGAAUCGUACGGGAGGCAGCAGUGGGGAAUAUUGCGCAAUGGGCGGAAGCCUGAUGCAGCAACGCCGCGUGCGGGAUGACGGCCUUCGGGGUGUAAACCGAUUUCGCCUGUGACGAAGCGUGAGUGACGGUAAUGGGUAAAGAAGCAACGGCUAACUACGUG
rnacentral:rRNA from 1 species